GAUAAACGCUGGUGGCGCACAUAAGACAUGCAAGUCGAACGGAAGUCGUUAUACAAGGAGAGAAGAUUUAUCGGAUUGAAUUAUAUAACAAUGGCUUUAGUGGCGGACUGGUGAGUAACGCGUAAGAAAUCUACCUAUUAGAGGGGAACAACAAUGAGAAAUCAUUGCUAAUACCGCAUAUGCCAUAAACAUCGCAUGAUGAAAGUGGGAAAGGAGCAAUCCGCUGAUAGAUGAUCUUGCGUCUGAUUAGUUAGUUGGUGGGGUAAUGGCCUACCAAGACGACGAUCAGUAGCCGGACUGAGAGGUUGAACGGCCACAUUGGGACUGAGAUACGGCCCAGACUCCUACGGGAGGCAGCAGUCGGGAAUAUUGCGCAAUGGAGGAAACUCUGACGCAGUGACGCCGCGUGCAGGAAGAAGGUUUUCGGAUUGUAAACUGCUUUAGACAGGGAAGAGAAAGGACAGUACCUGUAGA
rnacentral:rRNA from 1 species